UUAGUAAAAGAGGGCCAAUAAACUCAAAUUUAUAUGCAAAUCAACGGUACUUGAUAAACCCUAAACUCAAAAUCUCAACUUCUCAUGUCAUCGUCACUGCUCGCCGGCGGCAGCCUCCCAAGCGUCAUCUCGCCGCCGAGACCUCUCUUCUUCUUUCUCCUUUGGCGCGCGGAUUCCUUUCUCUUUUUCAUUUCGUCACAAAUAGAGACCACCAAGGCCUCCACCGCCCUCCUCCGUCCACGAAGGCGCAAACUGAGCCACAAAUACCUCCUUGUUUUAGUUGCAGAUACAGUGUUUUCUCUGAGAUUGGAGUCUAUUGUCAAGUUGAAGAAAGCCAAAGAGUUCUGACAUUUCCGCCAUUGCUACUUGCAUAGAGGUUGUGGAAAAUGGUAGCCCUAUAGAAAGGAAAAACUGGUUUCCUGAUAUUGAGCCUAUGUUUAAACUCCUUAGUGAUGAAAAUGUACCCAUUAUCUUAAGGUACGAUGGCUGUAUUGCAAUGUUCGUGUUGAUGGAGCAACAAUUGCAACGAAAAGAAAAAGAGACGAUCGAGAUCAACAAAAAUUUAACCUUUCUCAUGCAAUAUUUAGGAUUUGUUGGAUCUUCUUCUCAUCCAAGUUCAUCACCACAACCCAACAAUAAAACUGAUGAAGAUAAUGGAGAUGAUGAUAUUGGUAGUGAUCGUAUUAAGUAGUAUUUGUUUUUAUUUUGUUAAUUAGGUUGUAACAUAUACUUGAUAAUACUUAUUUUUUUUGGAUCAUA